UGGGGAAUAUUGCACAAUGGGCGCAAGCCUGAUGCAGCCAUGCCGCGUGUGUGAAGAAGGCCUCGGUUGUAAAGCACUUUCAGCGAGGAGGAAGGUGGUGAGCUUAAUACGCUCAUCAAUUGACGUUACUCGCAGAAGAAGCACCGGCUAACUCCGUGCCAGCAGCCGCGGUAAUACGGAGGGUGCAAGCGUUAAUCGGAAUUACUGGGCGUAAAGCGCACGCAGGCGGUUUGUUAAGUCAGAUGUGAAAUCCCCGGGGCUCAACCUGGGAACUGCAUUUGAAACUGGCAAGCUAGAGUCUCGUAGAGGGGGGUAGAAUUCCAGGUGUAGCGGUGAAAUGCGUAGAGAUCUGGAGGAAUACCGGUGGCGAAGGCGGCCCCCUGGACGAAGACUGACGCUCAGGUGCGAAAGCGUGGGGAGCAAACAGAUUAGAUACCCUGGUAGUCCACGCUGUAAACGAUGUCGAUUUUGGAGGUUGUG
rnacentral:rRNA from 1 species